GACGAACGCUGGCGGCGUGCUUAACACAUGCUAGUCGAACGAAGAGCGAUGGAAGCUUGCUUCUAUCAAUCUUAGUGGCGAACGGGUGAGUAACGCGUAAUCAACCUGCCCUUCAGAGGGGGACAACAGUUGGAAACGACUGCUAAUACCGCAUACGAUCUGACCUCGGCAUCGAGGAUAGAUGAAAGGUGGCCUCUAUUUAUAAGCUAUCACUGAAGGAGGGGAUUGCGUCUGAUUAGCUAGUUGGAGGGGUAACGGCCCACCAAGGCGAUGAUCAAGUAGCCGGUCUGAGAGGAUGAACGGCCACAUUGGGACUGAGACACGGCCCAGACUCCUACGGGAGGCAGCAGUGGGGAAUCUUCCGCAAUGGACGAAAGUCUGACGGAGCAACGCCGCGUGAGUGAUGACGGCCUUCGGGCUGUAAAGCUCUGUUAAUCGGGACGAAAGGCCUUCUUGCGAAUAGUUAGAAGGAUUGA
rnacentral:rRNA from 1 species